rnacentral:lncRNA from 1 species
CAUAUAGAAAUUUUAAUAGAAUUUGAGACGUGUAUUCAACUAUUCCUGUAAAGGCUUGAUUGUAACAUAGUUUCUGACUGAGAAUUCAUUGAAACAAAAUGUCGGCAUGUUUAUAACAUAGUUUACUUCUUUCUGUUAAUCCUUCAAUAUCAAUUCGGAUUCUUUAUUAUCAUCUUUGGUGAUUGUAUUCAUGGAAGAUGAAAAUUGAUUACAAAACCAGAAAAAUAGGAUGUAUUCUUGAAGAUAUCAAUUAUAUAUCUAAAGUAAUCUAUAGAGAAGCGUACUUUUUUAUUUAUUGAUUCAAUUAUAUUUCAGGUGCCAAGCUUACUCAUACCUCAAAAAAUAUAGCAAAGGAGUUUGUUACAGGAGGUUUCAUUGUUGAGCUGAUUAAAUAUUGCACUGUCAGUGCCUCUUUAUCGAACAUCAAUCAAUUAUAGCCAACUAAUUAAGCUAUCUUCAGUUACCACAGUUUACUACUAAGUAUUGUUUUACACAACUUACAACACUGUUGCUUUUCCAAUAUAUGUACAAUCAGUUUAGCAUGACAUGAUCUAUUUAGGCAUUUAAUUGUUGAGACAUUUAAAAAUUAAUCACGAUCCUUCCAACUUGGAAUGAAUUUUGCAGUGCAAGAUGGUGUAAAUUAUCAGUUUUCCAAGUUAUUGAUGAGAUAAGAUGCUAUAUUAGUUAUAGCCACAAAAACAAGAACAAACAAUUCCUGCUGCUUGCUAAAAUCUUAGGCCGUAAGGAGAUUGUCAGUGUUGAUUUGUUCACUUUGUAUCUUUACCUAAUACCCUCUGCUAUUUUCUUGGGUUUGCUGUUACAGCUUCAUACACCAGUGUUCGUUCCUGAUAUGAAUGAAUGAGGAAAGUGUUGAUCACAUUGAAAUAACUCCAACUCAUGAAGAUACAUCAGCUGAAAAUGCAAAUAUAAGAAGUACAAUAAGUUCUGUUGCCCCCUAAAUACAAAACUUAGAUAGCAUAAGAAAAUAAACAAAAUAGAUCUUUGUAGUUUAUUUUUGGCAGUUUAUAUUCACAGUUAUUUAUCAGCUGUUAUGUGAAUUUCAUUUAUGACCUUUUAUGGCAACUCAAGGCAAAAAUUCUUCCAACAAUUUGAAGAUACUCGAGGACAGUUGACAUGAAAGUAUAAGCGGAUCAUUAAUGACUGCCUGGAGGUUUUGGUGAAAUACUGAUUCAUUCAAGAGCGUACUUUUGUAAACGACUCCGGAUCAGACUCCCAACAUGUGGCACAACUAUUUUUAGCAAUUGAAAGCAAUUUCUGAAAGUUUUUAUGUACAAAUAGAAGAGGAAUGUAAUGUACAAUUCUUUAAACUGUAGAGUAAUGUAUUGUCAUAUCAAGUACAUUUAACAACGGAGUAACUUUCAAAUUCUCUUUUGCAAAAAAACUCGCUCAUAUUUCAGUGAUAGUUUUUUUUUUGUUUUUUUUUAAGGUGUUUAUCAUACAUUGCAU